ensembl:lncRNA
GGUAGACAUGUCUGUAUGUUGUGUUAUGAUAUGAGGGUAGGUUAGUGUUAUGAUAUGAGGGUAGGUUAGUGUUAUGAUAUGAGGGUAGGUUAGUGUUAUGAUAUGAGGGUAGGUUAGUGUUAUGAUAUGAGGGUAGGUUAGUGUUAUGAUAUGAGGGUAGGUUAGUGGUAGACAUGUCUGUAUGUAGUGUUAUGAUAUGAGGGUAGGUUAGUGUUAUGAUAUGAGGGUAGGUUAGUGUUAUGAUAUGAGGGUAGGUUAGUGGUAGACAUGUCUGUAUGUAGUGUUAUGAUAUGAGGGUAGGUUAGUGUUAUGAUAUGAGGGUAGGUUAGUGUUAUGAUAUG